rnacentral:rRNA from 1 species
CCGGCGACCGGCGCACGGGUGAGUAACACGUAUGGAACCUGCCCGCAGCAGGGGGAUAAGCGGAAGAAAUUCCGUCUAAUACCGCGUAACGCGGCCUAGGGACAUCCCAAGGCCGCCAAAGGGAGCAAUCCCGGCCACGGAUGGGCAUGCGGCGCAUUAGCUAGUCGGCGGGGUAACGGCCCACCGAGGCGACGAUGCGUAGGGGUUCUGAGAGGAAGGCCCCCCACACUGGUACUGAGACACGGACCAGACUCCUACGGGAGGCAGCAG